rnacentral:rRNA from 1 species
CAGCAGCCGCGGUAAAACGAGGGGGGCAAGCGUUGUUCGGAAUUAUUGGGCGUAAAGGGUGCGUAGGCGGCUUGACAAGUCUUGUGUGAAAUCUAUGGGCUCAACCCAUAGUCUGCACGGGAAACUGUCGGGCUUGAGAAUGGGAGAGGUGAGUGGAAUUUCCGGUGUAGCGGUGAAAUGCGUAGAUAUCGGAAGGAACACCUGUGGCGAAAGCGGCUCACUGGACCAUUUCUGACGCUGAUGCACGAAAGCUAGGGGAGCAAACAGGAUUAGAUACCCGCGUAGUCCCUGUCUCUUAUAC